AUUGAACGCUGGCGGCAUGCCUUACACAUGCAAGUCGAACGGUAACAGGUCUUCGGAUGCUGACGAGUGGCGAACGGGUGAGUAAUACAUCGGAACGUGCCCGAUCGUGGGGGAUAACGAAGCGAAAGCUUUGCUAAUACCGCAUAAGAUCUACGGAUGAAAGCAGGGGACCGCUAGGCCUUGCGCGAACGGAGCGGCCGAUGGCAGAUUAGGUAGUUGGUGGGAUAAAAGCUUACCAAGCCGACGAUCUGUAGCUGGUCUGAGAGGACGACCAGCCACACUGGGACUGAGACACGGCCCAGACUCCUACGGGAGGCAGCAGUGGGGAAUUUUGGACAAUGGGCGAAAGCCUGAUCCAGCCAUGCCGCGUGCAGGAUGAAGGCCUUCGGGUUGUAAACUGCUUUUGUACGGAACGAAAAGACUCUUUCUAAUAAAGAGGGUCCAUGACGGUACCGUAAGAAUAAGCACCGGCUAACUACGUGCCAGCCGCCGCAGUAAUAC
rnacentral:rRNA from 1 species